rnacentral:misc_RNA from 1 species
GAAAUGCGAUAAGUAAUGUGAAUUGCAGAAUUCAGUGAAUCAUCGAAUCUUUGAACGCACCUUGCGCUCCUUGGUAUUCCGAGGAGCAUGCUUGUUUGAGUGUCAUGGUCUUCUCAACCCCUCAGUCUUUUUUAUUAGAGGCAGUCGGGCUUGGACUUGGAGGCUUUGCGGGCAUCUGGAUUUCAUAGUUCAGACGUCGGCUCCUCUGAAAUGCAUUAGCUUGAAUAGAACCAAGCAUGAUUCAGCGUGAUAAUUGUCUACGUUGCUUCAUCUCGGUGAAUUUAAUGUUCAAGCUUCUAACCGUCCCUCGGGACAAUCUCUGAACAUCUGACCUCAAAUCAAGUAGGACUACCCGCUGAACUUAA